GACGAACGCUGGCGGCGUGCUUAACACAUGCAAGUCGAACGGACAGGCCCUGCUUUUGUGGGGUGCUCGAGUGGCGAACGGGUGAGUAACACGUGAGUAACCUGCCCUUGUCUUUGGGAUAACUUCAGGAAACUGGGGCUAAUACCGGAUAGGAGCUCCUGCUGCAUGGUGGGGGUUGGAAAGUUUCGGUGGUUGGGGCUGGACUCGCGGCUUAUCCGCUUGUUGGUGGGGUAGUGGUUUACCAAGGCUGUGACGGAUAGGCGGCCUGGGAGGGUGGCCGGCCACAUGGGGACUGAGAUAGGGCGCAGUCGCCUACGGGAGGCAGCGGGGGGGAAUAUUGCACAAUGGGCGGAAGCCUGAUGCGGCAACGCCGCGUGCGGGAUGACGUCCUUCGGGUUGUAAACCGCUUUCGCCUGUGACGAAGCGUGAGUGACGGUAAUGGGUAAAGAAGCACCGGCUAACUACGUG
rnacentral:rRNA from 1 species